rnacentral:lncRNA from 1 species
AAGCAGAGACUAUUAAGGCAAACAAAAAUAUCGGAUAGCGGUGUCUAGCAACCAUACUGUUUAGUGGAAGAUAUUCAAAUAUCCGUGACUGUUAAACUGAUGUGUGGUGGCUGUAGCAGCUCCCCUGGAUAACAAGAUGAAACUGAGAUGUGGUCCCUCAUAACCUUGGCCCUGCUUGGAUGUUGAUACAGUACAUCAUCUUACUAGGAUGAAACAUGGACAUUGGAUUAGAUGGCCGUCAUAUCUGGGUGCUAAGGGCCACUCCCUCACUACAGCUGCAGAUGUUUAGCACAGCCGCCAAUGUUCCAGAUGUCCAAGCAACAGUGGAGUCAGGUACAGUUACAUCAGUCAGCCAGUAAGAAGAAACUUGGAACCUGACCUAACCUAAUGAUCAGAGCCCUAAUAUCAAAUGACACAGCUGGAAGAUAGUGCUUUAGCUUACAUAUGCAGAAAAUCAAGUAGAAGAACAUGUCCAAGGGUGUGAAAGCAGCAUCAUUAUUCCUAUUAAUCAAAGAAAUGUAAAUAUUCAAGUGUGUGUGUGUGUGUGUCAAGAACUUUGGGACAGCUGUUCACCUUCAUUAAGUGAGGGCCACAUACUGUCCUCUCUAAGGAAAUUUUAUGUUAAAUUACUUAAAUGUAAAUCCAGUAGCGAGUAAUGUAAUCUGUUAAAUAAAUUCAUCAUAACCAUUUGUUUCAAGAGUGAUUAUACUUAAGUCUCAAACUAAAGAAUGGAAAUUUAUAAAGCUCUACCAUUAGAGAAAUGGGAAAACAUUAAAUUUGUCACAAUUAUGUUUUGUGAAUUAAAACAAAAAACCAAGUUGA